GAUGAACGCUGGCGGCGUGCCUAAUACAUGCAAGUCGAGCGAACAGACGAGGAGCUUGUUCCUCUGACGUUAGCGGCGGACGGGUGAGUAACACGUGGAUAACCUACCUAUAAGACUGGGAUAACUACGGGAAACAGGAGCUAAUACCGGAUAAUAUAUUGAACCGCAUGGUUCAAUAGUGAAAGACGGUUUUGCUGUCUCUUAUAGAUGGUUCCGCGCUGGAUUAGCUAGUUGGUAAGGGAACGGCUUACCAAGGCGACGAUGCGUAGCCGACCUGAGAGGAGGAUAGGCCGAAGUAGAGAGGGGACAGGGUCCAGAGUCCUCAGGGAGGCAGCAGUGGGGAAUGGUAGGCAAUGGGCGCGAACAUGAUCCAGCCAUAGCGAGUGGGUGAAAAAGGCCUUCGGGUUGUAAAGCCCUUUGGUUGGGAAAGAAAAGCAGCAGGUUAAUACCCAGCUGUUCUGACGGUACCCAAUAAAUAAGCAACGGCUAACUUCGUG
rnacentral:rRNA from 1 species